UUGCCGUCAAUGCAAAAAUGGAUCGUUUCUUCGCCACUUCCCUGGUGGGUAUUCCCAAAUUGCGAUUCGAAGAUGUGCAGAAGAUUGUGGAGACACACUCAGCAACACCACAGCCCAGGCUGACAAAGGGAUCACCCUGGAGGCUGUUGGACAACUGGGUCUCUCAGAGCUGUAGCUGUGCUGCGGGCAAAGGCUUCUGUAGCCAUAUAACCGCUCUGUUCCAGACAGCGCAUUAUGUGCAGCUGGGCCUUGAUGUGGUUCCACCUUCCCUGGCCUGUACCAGUCAACCACAGAUGUGGCAUCGACCUCGAACCCAUGUGUGCUGUUGUGUCCUCUGUUCAAAUCAUACACUUCAGUAUUUGUCUAGAGUAUAUGCAUUUCCUGUAUUGUUGUUCGCCUCAGGGAAUCCAUCCAGAGGCUGUGAGUGACCUGGUGGUGAAGAAACCCAAGUCGGUGGGGAAGACUGGAGUCAAGUCCACACUCUACAGAGCGUAUGCUG
ensembl:lncRNA